UGUGUAGGCGGUUGUUUAAGUUUGGUGUGAAAUCUCCCGGCUCAACUGGGAGGGUGCGCCGAAUACUGAAUGAUUCGAGUGCGGGAGAGGAGAGUGGAAUUCCUGGUGUAGCGGUGAAAUGCGUAGAUAUCAGGAGGAACACCGGUGGUGUAGACGGCUCUCUGGACCGUAACUGACGCUGAGACACGAAAGCGUGGGUAGCAAACAGGAUUAGAUACCCUGGUAGUCCACGCCCUAAACGAUGCAUAUUUGGUGUGGGCCGUUCAGUCGGUCCGUGCCGGAGCUAACGCGUUAAAUAUGCCGCCUGGGGAGUACAGUCGCAAGGCUGAA
rnacentral:rRNA from 1 species